AUUGAACGCUGGCGGCAUGCCUUACACAUGCAAGUCGAACGGCAGCACGGGAGCAAUCCUGGUGGCGAGUGGCGAACGGGUGAGUAAUCUAUCGGAACGUGCCCAGUAGUGGGGGAUAACUGCUCGAAAGAGCAGCUAAUACCGCCUACGACCUGAGGGUGAAAGGGGGGGAUCGCAAGACCUCUCGCCAUUGGAGCGGCCUAGAUCAGAUUAGCUAGUUGGGGGGGUAAAGGCCUACCAAGGCAACGAUCUGUAGUUGGCCUGAGAGGACGACCAGCCACACUGGGACUGAGACACGGCCCAGGCUCCUACGGGAGGCAGCAGUGGGGAAUUUUGGACAAUGGGCGCAAGCCUGAUCCAGCAAUGCCGCGUGCAGGAAGAAGGCCUUCGGGUUGUAAACUGCUUUUGUCAGGGAAGAAAUCCUCUAGGUUAAUACCCUUGGGGGGAUGACGGUACCUGAAGAAUAAGCACCGGCUAACUACGUGCCAGCCGCCGCCGUAACAC
rnacentral:rRNA from 1 species